GUGUCUCCUCUCUUGCUCUUGAUACAUGUGGACUUUUUGCCUUUCCUCUCUCUCCUCAUUUCAGUGAAGAGAGAAGUCAGAAAUAUGGAAUAUAUUAUUUUUCUAUGAAGUGAGAUUAUACUAUACAUGUACCUUCAGGCUCUAUAAAACUCACUAAAAUUGUGAACCAUGCCUUUAGUGAAGAGGAACAUUGAGCCCCGGCACUUGUGCCGGGGAGCUCUGCCUGAAGGGAUUACCAGCGAACUUGAAUGUGUAACCAAUAGUACUCUUGCCGCUAUCAUACGCCAGCUGAGCAGUCUGAGCAAACAUGCUGAAGACAUAUUUGGUGAGUUGUUUAAUGAGGCUAACAACUUCUACAUCAGAGCAAAUUCUCUUCAAGACAGAAUUGAUCGCCUUGCUGUCAAAGUCACCCAGCUGGAUUCAACAGUGGAAGAGGUCUCACUACAGGAUAUCAACAUGAAAAAAGCUUUCAAAAGUUCCACAGUCCAAGACCAGCAAGUGGUUUCAAAGAACAGCAUUCCUAAUCCUGUUGCUGAUAUUUACAACCAGAGUGAUAAGCCACCGCCUCUGAACAUCCUGACACCAUACAGAGAUGACAAGAAGGAUGGGCUGAAGUUCUAUACUGAUCCUUCCUAUUUCUUUGACCUCUGGAAAGAAAAAAUGCUACAGGACACCGAAGACAAAAGGAAAGAGAAAAGGCGUCAAAAG
rnacentral:sRNA from 1 species